CUCUUGUUGUAUGCAGCUUCCUGCAUAAGGGUCUUCAUCCCAAACAAUAACCAUGGCGGCCACUGAAAUAGCUAGGCAAGCGGGAGAAGGUGCUCGCGCCGUCCCUCUCGCCGGCCAUGUCGGUUUCGACAGCAUGCCUGACCAGUUGGUCAACAAGUCUGUCAACCACGGCUUUUGCUUCAACAUCCUCUGCAUUGGGGAGACGGGCCUGGGCAAGUCCACUCUCAUGGACACCCUGUUCAAUACCAAGUUCGAGGGCGAACCCACCCAGCACAACCAGCCGGGCGUGCAGCUCAAGUCCAACACCUACGAGCUCCAGGAGAGCAAUGUGCGCCUCAAGCUGACCGUGGUCAACACUGUGGGCUUUGGAGACCAGAUCAACAAAGAGGACAGCUACAAGUCUAUUGUGGAGUUUAUCGACACCCAGUUUGAGGCCUAUCUGCAGGAGGAGCUGAAAAUCAAGCGCACGUUACACAGCUACCAUGACACACGCAUCCAUGCCUGUCUGUACUUCAUCGCACCCACCGGACACUCCCUCAAGUCCCUGGACCUGGUCACUAUGAAGAAACUGGACAGCAAGGUCAACAUCAUCCCCAUCAUCGCCAAAUCAGACGCCAUCUCCAAAAGCGAGCUGACCAAGUUCAAGAUCAAGAUCACCAGUGAGCUGGUCAGCAACGGUGUUCUGAUCUACCAAUUCCCCAUCGACGAUGAGACGGUGGCAGAGAUCAACUCCACCAUGAACGCCCAUUUGCCGUUCGCCGUGGUGGGAAGCACGGAGGAAGUGAAGAUUGGCAACAAGAUGGUGAAAGCGCGGCAGUACCCCUGGGGGACGGUACAGGUGGAGAAUGAAAACCACUGUGACUUUGUGAAGCUGAGAGAGAUGCUAAUCAGGGUGAACAUGGAGGAUCUUAGAGAGCAGACUCACACCAGACACUACGAGCUCUACCGUCGCUGCAAGCUGGAGGAGAUGGGCUUCAAGGACACAGACCCCGACUGCAAACCCUUCAGUCUGCAGGAGACGUACGAAGCCAAGAGGAACGAGUUCAUGGGAGAGCUGCAGAAGAAAGAGGAAGAGAUGAGGCAGAUGUUCGUCCAGAGAGUCAAGGAAAAGGAGGCUGAGCUGAAGGAGGCAGAGAAAGAGCUGCACGAGAAGUUUGACCGGCUCAAGAAGCUGCACCAGGAUGAGAAGAAGAAGCUGGAGGACAAGAAGAAAUCCCUGGAUGACGAGCUCAACGGGUUCAAGCAGAAAAAGACGGCCGCUGAGCUCCUACAGUCCCAGGCUCUGCAGGCAGGGGGCUCCACCACACUCAAGAGGGACAAGGAGAGGAAAAAUUAACUCCUCCACUUGCUGCAUGCUGCAUGAGGCAUCUUGUCCUGGUAAGGCUUGCAUACUCAACUGUUCCCCUGGUAACCAAUGACAAAAAGCACAUAAAUCAAUGUUUAAAUACAUGUUAAUCAGAUGUGAGUUCAACACAUAUUUGAACUUAAAUGAGAAGGGAGUCCUCAAAUUAUAAUUAGAAAUGUAUUUCAAUAAGUAUUUUAACUUCUAGCAGCUGGUAGAAAUGCAGGCAACAAUAUGUCUACUAUCAACACCACAACAAUCUGCUUUUGUGGUCCACCCUGCCCAGCCACUACACAAAGAGACAUUCAGAGUCCUGUAGAAACUGCAGGGUCACGCUAGUGCUCUGUUCAGCUACAGUGCCAAUCCUUGUGUACAAGGAUUUUUUAUAGCAAUGUUUUUGUUGUUGAUCCUUCAGCUGUUUGACACCCACCUCUUUGUUGAUACAAAAGAAAAACCCACUGAGAGAUUCGCUAUUCAUACAGCCUCAGCCAUACACUCAUCAACAGAACGGGUUCCAAAAGGGUUCUUCGGCUGUCCAUAAAUUAAGGAUUCCUGUAGGAAUGAUUUUUCACCCCAUCCCUGGCAGUGCCAUGCUGUUCUCUGUGCCCUCCAGCCCCCCCCCCUCCCCCAUUCCAAACCCCACACAUGCCCCUGCACUGUGGAAGAAUCCAGCCAUUACUGUGAAUGGGAAUCCUUGACUCAAACACAUCCUUUUUGCGCUAAAGAUGCUUGUUUUUGUACGUUCUUUUUGUUACGAGCCAUCAUCCUCUGUUUGCCUGUUUGCUUUCUGUUGGAAAGUAGAUUUAUUUUCUUGUUGUUUUUGUUGUUGACCUGUUCUGCAUGUCUGAGUGUGCUUUUUACUUUUACAUGCACAACUACUGCACAACUACUGUUGUGACAGGCAGGAGUUUGUGGAGGCUAAGGUGAAAUGUAUAUCAGCUGUGGUCUGACCAGGCCAGUGGAGUGUGUGUGUGUGUGUGUGUGUGUGUGUGUGUGUGUGUGUGUGUGUGUGUGUGUGUGUGUGUGUGUGUGUGUGUGUGUGUGUGUGUGGUGUGUGUGGUGUGUGUGUGUGUGUGUGUGUGUGUGUGUGUGUGUGUGUGUGUGUGUGUGUGUGUGUGUGUGUGUGUGUGUGUGUGUGUGUGGUGUGUGUGGUGUGUGUGUGUGUGUGGACACGUGUUUACUAUACUUGUAAGUACCUGAAGUCUUCUCAAGAAUAGUAAACCAACUAACAUUCAGAGAAGAGAGGACAUUUUGUUGGUCUUCACUUGUAAUAUGACUAUUUUAGGGUUAGAUUUUGGGUUCAAAUUAGGGUUAGAGGUUAAGAUUAGGUUAAGAGUUAGGGUUAGAGGUUAAGAUUAGGUUAAGGGUUAGGGUUAGCGGUUAGGGAAAAUUUGAUUUUGAAUGGAAAUCAGUUGUUGGUCCCCCAAAAGACCUCACUAGUAUAGUAAGACAGCUGUCUGUGUGCGUACUCAUUAGCAUCUUCAGGUCCAUGUUUCAGACCACCACUAUUCUACUCACUACCAGGGUAUAAUCAACCACUCCAAUAGUAUGACAUUAUGACGAUGUGCGCUGAUAUCGUGUUGCAAUAUAAUGUGUAAUUAUUGAAAAUUAAGAUACUAUUAUUGUAUGUUUUGAAUGAGGGUAUGUUGUCCACCACCUAUCAAGAGAGUAGCCUAGUUCCAGAUCUGUUUGUGCUUUUGCCUGCUCAUAACAUGGCAUGAAUAAUGAGUUACAGGGAGUUGGCAUGACAGCACAAACAGACUGGCACUCAGGCUACGGAGAGAGUGAGUGUUAGUCAACUGCUGAUGUUAUUUCAUCUUAGCCUAGUGCAUGUGCAAAUAUUAAUGAUUUCUUGUCAUGUCUUUGCACAUUCCUCAUUGUUUUUCAUAUACUGUACGCUAUCUGCAUACUUGUUAGCUUUUCACGUUUGCACAUUUUACACAAAUGUGAUUUUGUAUAUUUCCAGUGCAAUUGUGACUUUUAGAUUUUUUUCUACAUAUAACAUCAUAUUUGAAGCCUUUUAACCAAAUAACAAUAAUGUAGGGAUCAGUAUUGCACUUGUAUCAGUGUUACACAAAAAAUACUUCAUCUCCAAGGGAAAUAAAGAGGGAAUUUCACCAAAUAUUUCAA